AACGCAAAUUGCACUCCCUGGUAUUCCGGGGAGUAUGCCUGUUUGAGGGUCAGUUUAAAUAAAAAUCGGUGUGUUGCUUUUUGUAACGCCUCGGAUUUGGGUUAUCUUAGCCUUUGGGUUAAGAGACCUAAAAUUGACUUUUUUUGUGCAUUUUUAUAGACGUACAUAAGAUAUUUUUUUAUUCGUCUUGGAAUGCCAAAUUUAUUAGGUAUGAUCAUGUUGUGUGAUUUCGUACCUAUAGGUUUCAUCAUCUGACCUCAAAUCAGGUAGGGACACCCGCUGAACUUAA
rnacentral:misc_RNA from 2 species